UACGGGGGGGGCAAGCGUUGUUCGGAAUUACUGGGCGUAAAGGGUUUGUAGGUGGCUUGUUAAGUCAGACGUGAAAUCCCUCAGCUUAACUGGGGAACUGUGUCUGAUACUGGCGAGCUUGAGUGCAGGAGAGGAACGCGGAAUUCCAGGUGUAGCGGUGAAAUGCGUAGAUAUCUGGAGGAACACCGGUGGCGAAGGCGGCGUUCUGGACUGCAACUGACACUGAGAAACGAAAGCCAGGGUAGCAAACGGG
rnacentral:rRNA from 1 species